GAAAUGCGAUAAGUAAUGUGAAUUGCAGAAUUCAGUGAAUCAUCGAAUCUUUGAACGCACAUUGCGCCCGCCAGUAUUCUGGCUGGCAUGCCUGUUCGAGCGUCAUUUCAACCAUCAAGCCCCCGGGCUUGUGUUGGGGACCUGCGGCUGCCGCAGGCCCCGAAAACCAGUGGCGGGCUCGCUGUCACACCGGGCGUAGUAGAUUUUUCGUCUCGCCCAGGGCGUGCUGCGGGUUCCGGCCGUUAAAAAGCCUCUCUUUUAACCCAAGGUUGACCUCGGAUCAGGUAGGAAGACCCGCUGAACUUAAGC
rnacentral:misc_RNA from 1 species